CCUAAUGAAAUAUUGCCAGACAGACAGGGAUCAGGUUAGGAAAGCUAAAGCCCAUUUAGAACUAAGUCUGGCCAGGGACAUCAAGGGCAAUAAGAAAGGCUUCUAUAAGUACAUCAGUGUUAAAAGGAAGACCAACAGAAAUGUGGGCCCU